UUUUGAAAACUGAACGUUUUAGGGGGGUCAAAGGAGUUGACUUUUUAUACAUUGGGAAAUUGGGAAAACUUCCUUCAUGAAAGUUGUAGAGCGCGUCGAUACGAGUUCGUGGACAUAUGGAACGUAAUAUUCGGAGUUCGUAUGAAUAAGUUACGAAUAUUUGAAAAUUGGGAUUUUCUAUAAAUAUGAAAAAAAAUCCGAAUAUUGCAAAUGAGGACAGAAUUUCUGGAACUCCAGAAAUUUCUCCCCAUUUCUCUCCCGAGCCCAGCCGCGACCCCCUCCCUUCGUCACCUUCGUUCUUCCUCAUCCGGCCACCGAUUGAUGUGAAACAAAGUGGGUUUUUCUGGUCUCGACCCCCUUUACGAGUUUGUAGAAGAAAUCGAAGUGAAAUACGAGCUGUAUGAGGCUCUACAAGGUCGAGAAGAGAGCCUCGUCGGAGACGAAAUCGCUCUUCCCCACUUUUUCUGGGCUCUACUUUGUCUGGCCAUAUCUUCCUCUACAGGCCUCCGAUCGACCUGAUUCCAAAAGCAAUUUUUCUCACCGUGAAGUUUUCUACAACUUUCCAGAAGACAUCGACUUGAGAUAACCAUCGUGGUGGCCGCUAGAAGACCGAGAAGCCGCACAGCCGAGCUGGAAAUCGUCUUCCUUCGCCACCUUGGUUCUCCCAGCUCCGGCCACUAUAGCUCGAGUUCUUUGAGGGCUUUUCUAGCCCAGAGGAAGUAGAAGCUAUCCCCAAGAAGGCUUGCAGCGAUUUGAUCCGGGGUGAUCGAAUUUUGAAGAUUGGGAAACUAGGGUUCUUCGGGUUUCAAAACUUGCGAGGUGAUUGACGGUCUCCCUUGGGUGAACGAUUUCGGUGUGUAUUGUGUUGAAUUGAAGACGCAGCGGGAAUAUCGAGCGGGUAAUCCUGCAGGUCAGGAGAAUCAGGGCGGUGAUCGAGCGGGUUAGAGUAUUUGUUAUAGUUUUACAGCAUUUGUAAUAGUGAGGUGAGUUAAGCUCAUUGAGCCUUACAAUUUGAUUUGGUGAGAGUGUGUUGUAAUAAUUAACUUGAGGAUUUGAUUUAUUGUAAUAUUGAGAGGUGUGAAGUGUGGUUGUUUGUGAGAAAAAAAUUCAGGACGUUUAUUCUA